AUUGAACGCUGGCGGCGUGCCUAACACAUGCAAGUCGAGCGGUAACAGGUGUAGCAAUACAUGCUGACGAGCGGCGAACGGGUGAGUAAUGCUUUGGAAUCUUCCCAGUAGUGGGGAAUAACCAGUCGAAAGAUUGGCUAAUACCGCAUACGUCUGUAAAGGGAAAGCGGGGGACUCGCCUCUUCUUCGGAAGAGAGGCCUCGCGCUAUUGGAUGAGCCAAAGCGGAUUAGCUAGUUGGUGGGGUAAUGGCCUACCAAGGCGACAAUCCGUAGCUGGUCUGAGAGGACGACCAGCCACACCGGAACUGAGACACGGUCCGACUCCUACGGGAGGCAGCAGUGGGGAAUAUUGGACAAUGGGGAAACCCUGAUCCAGCGACGCCGCGUGUGUGAAGAAGGCCUGCGGGUUGUAAAGCACUUUUAGUGGGGACAAAAGCUACGGAUUAAUACUCUGUGGUCUUGAUUUAACCUACAGAAAAGCACCGGCUAACUCUGUGCCAGCA
rnacentral:rRNA from 1 species